rnacentral:lncRNA from 1 species
AUAGUAUUUAAUUUUUCAAUGUAAUUUGUUACUAAUCAAUACAGAAAGUUCCACAUGGAACCCUUACAUUCAUCCAUAUGACAAGCACACAAGAAUUUGUAUGGAAGGGACUAAUGUCUGAAGCUAUCAAAUAAAGUGUCGAGGUCGUUGCGCUAAGUUCUGCCGAAAUGAUUCAUCCUCUACUAUCUGAAAUCCUUUACAAUCGGAAGAGGGUCAGACUAGCAAGUCUUCAGAGUUGACUGAUGUGACAUGCGCAGUUAAUGAGUGUUAGAAAUGUCGGCCUAACUUAUAGAGUGGCUGACUUCUUGUCAAAAGUCUAUCAAUAUAAUUAAUGUGUAAUAGAAUUGAUGUAGUCGUUAGGGUGGGCAGAUUAGCCCACGUGGAUCCAAUCCAACGAUGAUUACGUCGGCCUAAUCACUAUAAAUAAGCAAUAAUUGUAUCAAUUAAAAGAUCUAGAACAAUAGUACAAAGAAGGGAAUACAAUUCUUUCAUUGCCUACAA